rnacentral:lncRNA from 1 species
AAGCGGGCUGGUAGUUUUUGAGGCCAACUAUUGGGAAAUAGAUAUGAGGCGAGCCUGGCUGAACUAUUGAAACCAUGGGAGGUGUAGUUUCUUGUAGAGUUUUAAUCAUGACUCGAGUCUUGUUUUUCGGACAAAACAUCCACUGGCAAUUUUUUGACUUUGUUUUCUUACUUUAUUAAGCUUGCUGGAAGGAACAUCUUAGAUUUUGGAAGCCACAUUAAGCUAUGGAUUAUUUUGUUAGAAUCUGAAUAAAUUUGCUUUUGCAAUCAUUUCCAACU